rnacentral:rRNA from 1 species
AAUAGAUACCCCGGUAGUCCUAGCCCUAAACGAUGGAUACUUGGUGUGGGAGGGGUUGAAUCCUUCCGUGCCGGAGCUAACGCGUUAAGUAUCCCGCCUGGGGAGUACGGUCGCAAGGCUGAAACCCAAAGGAAUUGACGGGGGCCCGCACAAGCGGCGGAGCGUGCUCUUUAAUUCGUCGCAACGCGAAGAACCUUACCAGGGCUUGACAUGGACCUGCAUGUCCGGGAAACCGGGCAGCCUUCGAGGGUGGUCCACAGGUGCUGCAUGGCUGUCGUCAGCUCGUGUCGUGAGAUGUUGGGUUAAGUCCCGCAACGAGCGCAACCCUUGUGUCCAGUUGCGAUUUUCUGGACAGACUGCCGGGAGCAAACCGGAGGAAGGUGGGGAUGAUGUCAAGUCAGCAUGGCCCUUACGCCCUGGGCGAGAAGCACGCUACAAUGGCCAGGACAGCGGGUUGCCAAACGGUAACGUGGAGCUAAUCCCAGAAACCUGGUCUCAGUUCGGAUCGUGGGCUGCAACUCGCCCACGUGAAGGUGGAGUCGCU